GAGAAGAAGGAACUAAUGGGGAGGAAUGUGAUCGAAUUAGCUUUUUAAGUUCACUCAUUUCAAAGAAGGAAAGGGUUAGAUGCCCCCAAAAGUUGAGGCAAAAUAUAAUGAAAUGAUAGAAUUGAAGGAAAAAAGUUCAUCAGAUGAAAACCAUAACUGUACAUGAAAUUUGUGAUCAAGUGCUUGGAACUCGAUCAGGAUAUAUAAGGGACUUGGGUAUGGUUUAAAGCCUAAGAAAAAGCAGGACCAAGUUUCAAAUUAAGAGACUUGCAGAUGUCUUAAAGAAUCUGAAGAUAGAUUUAGAGAAUCAGAGGAGAUAAAUCUCAAGUAUAAGAGAAAGUAGAUGGACUAACCUUACGCUUAGAACGAGAAGAAAGAUGUUUAGAUGUGGCUUGCCGUUGGAAAUCAUCCACCUGCUCCUUGAAGACUUGUUUGGGAUGCGUAUACCUAGACGUCCAGCAGCUUCAGCAAUUCACUUUUUUGCUUCUUUGAAAUGCAGCCACUAUAGGAGGGUAUUUUUUUUGACAAUCCUAGU